rnacentral:rRNA from 1 species
GGCUCAGGAUGAACGCUGGCGGCGUGCCUAAUACAUGCAAGUCGAACGGAGAGCUUUUGUAGCAAUACGAGAGUUUCUUAGUGGCGAACGGGUGAGUAACGCGUUGGUGACCUGCCCCGAAGCGGGGGAUAACAGAUCGAAAGAUCUGCUAAUACCCCAUGUGGUCAUUGGCUUCAGAAACUGAUGACUAAAGGAGUAAUCCACUUCGGGAGGGGCCUGCGUCCCAUCAGCUAGUUGGUAGGGUAACGGCCUACCAAGGCGACGACGGGUAAGGGACCUGAGAGGGUGGUCCCUCACAAUGGCACUGAAACACGGGCCAUACACCUACGGGUGGCAGCAGUAGGGAAUAUUGCUCAAUGGGCGAAAGCCUGAAGCAGCAACGCCGCGUGUGCGAUGAAGGUCUUCGGAUCGUAAAGCACUUUUCUGGGAGAUGAGAAAGGACAGUAUCCCAGGAAUAAGCCUCGGCUAACUACGUGCCAGCAGCCGCGGUAAAACGUAGGAGGCGAGCGUUAUCCGGAUUUACUGGGCGUAAAGCGCGUGCAGGCGGUUCGGCAAGUUGGGUGUGAAAUCUCCCGGCUCAACUGGGAGGAGUCGCUCAAUACUACCGGACUUGAGGGCAGUAGAGGAAGGUGGAAUUCCCGGUGUAGUGGUGAAAUGCGUAGAUAUCGGGAGGAACACCAGUGGCGAAAGCGGCCUUCUGGACUGUACCUGACGCUCAUACGCGAAAGCUAGGGGAGCGAACGGGAUUAGAGACCCCGGUAGUCCUAGCUGUAAACGAUGCAAACUUGGCGUCGGUGGGUUCAAAGCCAUCGGUGCCGAAGCUAACGCGAUAAGUUUGCCGCCUGGGGACUACG